CCUGUCUCGGCCACGUUGCCUUCCCUCUGUUCGGAGAGGGCCCGGCAGAUCCCCCCGGUCUCCCUAAGUUUUACCCAGCCUGGCCUCUGACGUGUGAUUCUCCAUGAAGCCUCCCAAGCGGCUCGAAUGACAGCUGAGCACCAGCGAGCCUGGCAUGGACUGCCUGCCUCUCCUUCCUUGAUGUGACGGCAGUGACACAGGUCAGGUGUCCCACACCUACCAGGGCAAUGGCUCCAAGCAGAACAGUAAAUACAGCGAAGCCUCUGGAAUGAGACCCCAGAAGCGAAACCACGAAUCUCCGAAGAAAAGGAAAGAAAAGUAAAAACCUUCAGAAACCUGCUGCUUCUCCGGCCUGCGCUAGAAGAAACUCUCUCUGGAUUUCUCGGCUCCCAAGAAGCCCUCAGGCAGAAGCAUUUAUCAGAGCAGAGCUCAAUGCCUUGUGAGGACGGGGACGCAGCCGGGUCCCGCGUGCGGGGACAGGGACGCGACACGCGGGUGGAAGACACGUGCAGGGAUGGGAUGGUAAGGCACCACUCCUGAAGCUCAGGCCGCUCGCAGGGACGGGGCGAGCACCGCGCGUGCACUAGAGCGAGGCGGACGAACAA